UACGUAGGCAGCAAGCGUUGUUCGGAAUUACUGGGCGUAAAGAGUGUGUAGGCGGUGCUCCAAGUCUGGUGUGAAAUCUCCCGGCUUAACUGGGAGGGUGCAUUAGAAACUGGAAUGCUAGAGGAUGGGAGAGGUAAGCGGAAUUCCUGGUGUAGCGGUGAAAUGCGUGGAUAUCAGGAGGAACACCUGUGGUGUAGACAGCUUACUGGACCAUUUCUGACGCUGAGACACGAAAGCGUGGGUAGCAAACAGG
rnacentral:rRNA from 1 species